rnacentral:snRNA from 1 species
AGAUGUUGCAGCCAUCAAGCCACUUACAGCCAUUCCAUUGAGCUCCAGGGUUGACCUGGCCGACCUGGCUGUCUAAGCAGGUGUCCCCUUCCUUCUUCACCACUCCACAUGCCUCCGUCAUCAAGCUGCUGGCUCCCUGGAAGAAGAGGUCCUUCCCCAGUGGCGGAGGACCGUCCUUUGGUUAAGGGGAUCCGAGUGGCUGUACACCCCUUCUGAAAACUCCAAACAAGUGUGCAAGGUCCAUUAAUAGGAAACUGUAGGGUAGUCAAGCUUCCAAGACUCCAGACACAUCCAAAUGAGGGCUGCAUAUGGCAGUCUGCCUUUCUUU